AUGGAUUUAUGGCAUAUGCAUAUUCACACUGUUGAAAAGGAUGAGAUAGUUGGAUGGCAUCACCAACUUGAUGGACAUGAAUUUGACCAAGCUCUGGGAGUUGAUGAUGGACAGGGAGGCCUGGAGUGCUGUGGUCCAUGGGGUCACAAAGAGUCAGAGAUGACUGAGCAACUGAACUUAACUGAUGGCAUAUGCAUUGCUGUCCAAAAAAGAAUAGACUUGCUUUGUCUUAAGUCUUUGUCCAGUCCCUGUCUUGGAGACUUCUUUAAAUGCAGGCCCCUCUGGCUAAAAUGGCUGGAAGACAAUAUGUUCUCUGGGAUGGAGCAGAGAUGGGGAGGAGGCAGGAGACUUUCUCCCAUCAUGAACACUUGCACAUGACCUCCAAGAAGAUUUCUUUCCAGCCUUCUGACAGCUGUUCUGAUAAUCCCCUGUACAAAUCAUUCAUACAUUUCAGGUAAACUUUUUGCAUAUUAGUUUUCUACCAUAUGCGUAGGGUAGAGUUGCCAGAUAAAUGAAAAUAGAGGGCACCCAGUUCAAUUUGAAUUUCUGAUAACAGAUAUACUUUAUUUUUUUAGUAUUAUUGAAAAAGCAAGAGAGUUCCAGAAAAACAUCUAUUUCUGCUUUAUUGACUAUGCCAAAGCCUUUGACUGUGUGGAUCACAAUAAAC
rnacentral:lncRNA from 1 species